rnacentral:rRNA from 1 species
GAUGAACGCUGGCGGCGUGCCUAAUACAUGCAAGUCGAGCGAACAGACGAGGAGCUUGCUCCUCUGACGUUAGCGGCGGACGGGUGAGUAACACGUGGAUAACCUACCUAUAAGACUGGGAUAACUUCGGGAAACCGGAGCUAAUACCGGAUAAUAUAUUGAACCGCAUGGUUCAAUAGUGAAAGACGGUUUUGCUGUCACUUAUAGAUGGAUCCGCGCCGCAUUAGCUAGUUGGUAAGGUAACGGCUUACCAAGGCAACGAUGCGUAGCCGACCUGAGAGGGUGAUCGGCCACACUGGAACUGAGACACGGUCCAGACUCCUACGGGAGGCAGCAGUAGGGAAUCUUCCGCAAUGGGCGAAAGCCUGACGGAGCAACGCCGCGUGAAUGAUGAAGGUCUUCGGAUCGUAAAACUCUGUUAUUAGGGAAGAACAAAUGUGUAAGUAACUUUGCACGUCUUGACGGUACCUAAUCAGAAAGCCACGGCUAACUACGUG